UACGGGGGGUGCAAGCGUUACUCGGAAUCACUGGGCGUAAAGAGCAUGUAGGCUGUUAGAUAAGUUGGAAGUGAAAUCCUAUGGCUUAACCAUAGAACUGCUUCCAAAACUGUUUAACUAGAGUAUGGGAGAGGUAGAUGGAAUUUCUGGUGUAGGGGUAAAAUCCGUAGAGAUCAGAAGGAAUACCGAUUGCGAAGGCGAUUUACUGGAACAUAACUGACGCUGAGAUGCGAAAGCGUGGGGAGCAAACAGG
rnacentral:rRNA from 1 species